ensembl:lncRNA
AUCUCCUGCACCGAGGGGCUGGAUGAGCACAGGUUCCAGCCAAAUGUAGGAGCUUUGCUUGCUGCUGGCUAAGCCCUGAUUUUGCUUGGGGCAGCAGGGACAGGAGGGCUUCAUGACAGCUCUUUGGUGCUCAGGGAGACCACCCUGGAGGGCAGUGACUAUAGUCUGCUCCUCUCAAGCUCAGUUCUCAGCAGAGGGACCACGUCCGCUGAGCAGAUGCUGUCGCUCGGAUGUUGGGAGCAGAGACAGGAUAAAACCUGACUCCAUGUCUCCCACCUCCAACCUUGGUGGGGCACAGAGGCUUCUGUUAGACCGGAAUGUCAUUAGAUGCUGAUGUCUCCCUGCCUGGACCAGAGUGAAGAGAAACCCAGAUAGGGCCCAGCCUACCCUGGGUUACCUGGAUCAGGCCUCAGCAGCCUCUAACUGAACCCGGAGCUCAAUGAUUGGCUAAGCUAGCUGUCCAGCAAGCCCCAGGAGUCUUCCUGCAUCCAUCUUCCCAGCUCUGGGAUUAGAGGGCCGAUGGCUGAUGGGAAGCAGGGCUUUCACAGUGGCGCCUGGAGUCAUCAGAGGAGGGGCUCACCACCGACAUCCCCUGCAGAUUCUUCUUCCCGGAAGUCCUUGGCUGGAUCCUCCUUCUUGCUUGAUGCCUACUGCAGCACUGGUUCAGCCAUGCCAAAGAGCUUUGGAUCCUUCUGUAAUUAAAAUGUCCCACUGGUCUGGGGAAAGAUGUGGC